rnacentral:rRNA from 1 species
CCUACGGGUGGCAGCAGUGGGGAAUAUUGCACAAUGGGGGGAACCCUGAUGCAGCGACGCCGCGUGAGUGAAGAAGUAUUUCGGUAUGUAAAGCUCUAUCAGCAGGGAAGAAGAUGACGGUACCUGACUAAGAAGCCCCGGCUAACUACGUGCCAGCAGCCGCGGUAAUACGUAGGGGGCAAGCGUUAUCCGGAUUUACUGGGUGUAAAGGGAGCGUAGACGGCAGGGCAAGUCUGGAGUGAAAGCCCGGGGCCCAACCCCGGGACUGCUUUGGAAACUGCCAUGCUGGAGUGCGGGAGAGGUAAGCGGAAUUCCUAGUGUAGCGGUGAAAUGCGUAGAUAUUAGGAGGAACACCAGUGGCGAAGGCGGCUUACUGGACAGUAACUGACGUUGAGGCUCGAAAGCGUGGGGAGCAAACAGGAUUAGAUACCCGAGUAGUC